rnacentral:rRNA from 1 species
AAGGAAAAAUUUAUUUAUUGUUAGUUUAAUAAGAUAUUAGAAUGUUUAUUUAUGAGAUAGAAUAAAUUGUUAAAGUUAUAGUUUACUAGUAAUGUGAGUGAAUAUUGAAAUAUAUUGAAAUUAAGUUUUUUAUAAGAAUAAUUAAGUUUUAGUACCUUUUGUAUCAGGGUUUAUUAAAAUAAAAAUAUUAAAUUAUUUUUCCCGAAUUAAUAAGAGUUAUUUUUAUAUAAAUUUUAUUGUUUCAUAAAUAUUUAAAAUAUAAAAGUAGAGUAGAAAUUUUAUUCGUUUAUUAAUAUAUCUGGUUUUUUUAGAAAUUAAUAUAAUUAAAUUAUUUAAUUUUAUUUAUAAUAAUUUUAUUAUAAAUAUAGUUAAUUAAUAAGUUUUGUAGGGAUAAGCUUAUAAAAUUGUUUUUAUAAUUGAUUAUUAUUUAUUUUUAUUUAUAGAAUUAGAAUUAUUUAUUAUAGAUAGUAUUUUAUAAUUAAUAUUUUUAUUAAUGUUAUUUAUAAAUUAAUUUAAAUUUUUUAUAAAAAUUUUGUCUUUAAUAUUUAAAGAUUAGUAAUUAUGAUAGAAUUAGUAUAUAAAGUUUUAAAUUUAGUUUGAUUUUGGAGAUUAUUUAGAGGAAUUCGGCAAUAUUAAUUUUUCGCCUGUUUAUUAAAAACAUCGUUUUAUGACUAAUAAUAUAAGAUUUAACCUGCCCAAUGAAUAAUUUAAAUGGCCGCGGUAUUUUGACCGUGCAAAGGUAGCAUAAUCAUUAGUUUCUUAAUUAGAAGCUGGAAUGAAUGGUUGGACGAGAAAAUGACUGUCUUGAUUUAAUAUAAUAGAAUUUUAUUUUUGAGUUAAAAAGCUUAAAUUUUUGUUAAAGACGAGAAGACCCUAUAGAGUUUUAUUUAUUGAUUUGUUAUUAUAAGUUUAGAUAAUUAGUUUAUAUAAUUGUUUAUAAAUUUGGUUGGGGUGAUUGAAGGAUUAAAUAAACUCUUUUUAUUUUGACUUAUUAAUUUAUAUAUUUAUGAUCCAUGUUUUUUGAUUAAAAGAUUAAAUUACCUUAGGGAUAACAGCGUAAUUUUUAUGGAGAGUUCUUAUCAAUAUAAAAGUUUGCGACCUCGAUGUUGGAUUAAAAUUAAUUUUUGGUGGAGAAGCUAAAUAAUUAAGUCUGUUCGACUUUUAAAAUUUUACAUGAUCUGAGUUUAAACCGGUGUGAGCCAGGUUGGUUUCUAUCUUUAUAAAUUUAAAAUUUUUUAGUACGAAAGGACCAAAAAUUGAAUAUAUUUAUUUUUAUUAGAAUAAUAAUGU